rnacentral:tRNA from 1 species
GACUUUGUAGCUCAGCUUGUAGAGCACAACACUUUUAAUGUUGGGGUCCUUGGUUCGAACCCCAGCCAAGUCA